rnacentral:rRNA from 1 species
CCUACGGGGCGCUGCAGUGGGGAAUAUUGGACAAUGGGCGAAAGCCUGAUCCAGCCAUGCCGCGUGUGUGAAGAAGGCCUUCGGGUUGUAAAGCACUUUCAGUGGGGAAGAAAGCCUUGGGGCUAAUACCCUCGAGGAAGGACAUCACCCACAGAAGAAGCACCGGCUAACUCCGUGCCAGCAGCCGCGGUAAUACGGAGGGUGCGAGCGUUAAUCGGAAUUACUGGGCGUAAAGCGCGCGUAGGCGGUCUGAUAAGCCGGUUGUGAAAGCCCCGGGCUCAACCUGGGAACGGCAUCCGGAACUGUCAGGCUAGAGUGCAGGAGAGGAAGGUAGAAUUCCCGGUGUAGCGGUGAAAUGCGUAGAGAUCGGGAGGAAUACCAGUGGCGAAGGCGGCCUUCUGGACUGACACUGACGCUGAGGUGCGAAAGCGUGGGUAGCAAACAGGAUUAGAUCCCCUUGUAGUC